AAAUGCAAAUAUAAACCAACAUGGAUAGACCAUUGGUAGUUACCGAACCUAAAUUCAAUGCAAUAACAUCCACAAGAAAACUCUGCAGUACUCACUCGUUAACCUAACACCAGCGCAUUACAGGAAAGAUUUAAAAAAAGAGAAGGAAUUCGGCAAAUGACGGCCCCGCCUGUUUACCAAAAACAUCGCCUCUUGACUUAUAAUAAGAGGUCCAGCCUGCCCAGUGAAUUUUAAACGGCCGCGGUAUCCUAACCGCGCGAAGGUAGCAUAAUCACUUGUUCUUUAAAUGGGGACUUGUAUCAACGGCAUCACGAGGGUUUUACUGUCUCCUCUUUUUGAUCAGUGAAAUUGAUCUUCCCGUGAAGAAGCGGGAAUAUUUUUAUAAGACGAGAAGACCCCAUGGAGCUUUAAACCAAAUAACAACUUAACCACUUAUCCCAUAAUAAAUUUAAGCCCUGUUAUAAGGUUUUUGGUUGGGGUGACCGCGGAGUAAAGCACAUCCUCCACGACGGAAAGAACAGAAUCUUUAUUUAAGAACCACACUUCUAGAAAUUAGUAUACUAACGUUUACUGACCCGACAAUCGAUCAACGGACCAAGUUACCCUGGGGAUAACAGCGCAAUCUACUUCAAGAGCUCAUAUCG
rnacentral:rRNA from 1 species